rnacentral:rRNA from 1 species
UACGGGGGGGGCAAGCGUUGUUCGGAAUUACUGGGCGUAAAGGUCUCGUAGGCGGCCAACUAAGUCGGAUGUGAAAUCCCCAGGCUUAACCUGGGAACUGCAUCCGAUACUGGAUGGCUUGAAUCCGGGAGAGGGAUGCAGAAUUCCAGGUGUAGCGGUGAAAUGCGUAGAUAUCUGGAGGAAUACCGGUGGCGAAGGCGGCAUCCUGGACCGGCAUUGACGCUGAGGGAGCGAAAGCCAGGGGAGCAAACGGG